AGAUCAAGGAAGCUCCAAAAUAUUCCCAUGGUUCCCUCAAGGUAGUGGAAGUGAACAACUAUCGUGGUCGCCCCGGUGAUUUGAAACUUGUGAUGUACUUAAUAGACAACGCUGUUGGACUGGAAAAAAUUGUCAAUCAUCCUCUCGAACCAAUUCGUGGCGAAGAAUUGGGAGAGGCUUUUUUUAUGUGUCGUGCUAGGGAUGAGAUGGCAAGAAAAGUGCCUAAACACAUAGAAUUGGAUGGCCGUAAUAACUUUCGGUUUGAUCGUCCGGUAUAUGUGUAACUGAUUUCCCUUGGUUGUUCGGUUGCUGCGUCCGCCAAUUGAAAUUUUACAGAGGGAGGGAGGGUGGCUUACUUGAAUAAAGUGUAGUGCAGGCAGACUGCUUAAAUUGAAAGUUUCCUUUAUGCUUUUUCGGUCAAUUUGUUUCCUUAUGUUGCUUGCUGUUGUUUGGCAAGUUUCCUGACUGAAGUGAGAGAUGGGCUUAUUGCUGAAUAUGAGAUUAUGGGAACUUGCUUUGUCUCCAAGGCUGAUUACAAAGUUGGCUUGCACUUUAACAUUCUUUAUUAGGUCUAGAGCUGUUCCAAAGGUGAAAAUGGAUCUGAUUUAAAUGAGGCAGUGGACAGAAGGAAAAAUACAUAUACAAUUUGUAUGCCCCCCUAUGUAUCUACUUAGCAAGUGCAUGGUGCUUAAUUUGAGUAUUUUGCUUCA